UACGUAGGGUGCUAGCGUUGUCCGGAAUUAUUGGGCGUAAAGAGCUCGUAGGCGGUCUGUCGCGUCGGCUGUGAAAACCCGGGGCUCAACCCCGGGCCUGCAGUCGAUACGGGCAGACUAGAGUGCGGUAGGGGAGACUGGAAUUCCUGGUGUAGCGGUGAAAUGCGCAGAUAUCAGGAGGAACACCGGUGGCGAAGGCGGGUCUCUGGGCCGUAACUGACGCUGGGGAGCGAAAGCGUGGGGAGCGAACAGG
rnacentral:rRNA from 1 species